AAACAGCUAGUAUAAUUAAAACACCUAAUUUCGACUUAGUAACUCCGAGUUUGAAUCUCGGGCUGUUAU
rnacentral:tRNA from 1 species